rnacentral:rRNA from 1 species
GUGGAUUAGAUACCCUGGUAGUCCACGCCGUAAACGAUGAGUGCUAGGUGUCGGGGGUCGAACCUCGGUGCCGCAGUUAACGCAUUAAGCACUCCGCCUGGGGAGUACGUACGCAAGUAUGAAACUCAAAGGAAUUGACGGGGACCCGCACAAGCAGCGGAGCAUGUGGUUUAAUUCGAAGCAACGCGAAGAACCUUACCUGGACUUGACAUCCCUCGGACCGCUUUUUAACCAAAGCCUUCCCUUCGGGGACUGAGGUGACAGGUGGUGCACGGCCGUCGACAGCU